AUGGGCUCCGUGUCCAACCAGCAGUUUGCAGGUGGCUGCGCUUAGGCGGCAGAAGAGGCACCCGAGGAGGCGCCAGAGGAUGCGGCCCGGGCGGCGGAUGAGCCUCAGCUGCUGCAUGGUGCGGGCAUCUGUAAGUGGUUCAACGUGCGCCUGGGGUUCGGCUUCCUGUCCAUGACCGCCCGCGCCAGGGUCGCGCUCGACCCCCCAGUGGACGUCUUUGUGCACCAGAGUAAGCUGCACAUGGAGGCGUUCCGGAGCUUGAAGGAGGGUGAGGCAGUGGAGUUCACCUUUAAGAAGUCAGCCAAGGGUCUGGAAUCCAUCCGUGUCACCGGACCUGGUGGAGUAUUUUGUAUUGGGAGUGAGAGACGGCCAAAAGGGAAGAACAUGCAGAAGCGCAGAUCAAAAGGAGACAGAUGCUACAACUGUGGAGGUCUAGACCAUCAUGCCAAGGAAUGCAAACUGCCACCCCAGCCCAAGAAGUGCCACUUCUGCCAGAGCAUCAGCCAUAUGGUAGCCUCAUGUCCGCUGAAGGCCCAGCAGGGCCCUAGUGCACAGGGAAAGCCAACCUACUUUGGGGAGGAAGAAGAAGAAAUCCACAGCCGUGCCCUGCUCCCGGAGGCGCGGAAUUGAGCCACAAUGGGUGGGGGCUAUUCUUUUGCUAUCAGGAAGUUUCGAGGAGCAGGCAGAGUGGAGAAAGUGGGAAUAGGGUGCCUUGGGGCUAGUUGGCACUGCCAUGUAUCUCAGGCUUGGGUUCACACCAUCACCCUUUCUUCCCUCUAGGUGGGGGGAAAGGGUGAGUCAAAGGAACUCCAACCAUGCUCUGUCCAAAUGCAAGUGAGGGUUCUGGGGGCAAUCAGGAGGGGGGAAUCACCCUACAACCUGCAUACUUUGAGUCUCCAUCCCCAGAAUUUCCAGCUUUUGAAAGUGGCCUGGAUAGGGAAGUUGUUUUCCUUUUAAAGAAGGAUAUUUAAUAAU